rnacentral:rRNA from 1 species
GACGAACGCUGGCGGCGUGCUUAACACAUGCAAGUCGAACGAUGAACCCGGAGCUUGCUCCGGUGGAUUAGUGGCGAACGGGUGAGUAACACGUGAGUAACCUGCCCUUGACUCUGGGCUAACUGCGGGAAACUGUAGCUAAUACCGGAUACGACCCUCGGCGGCAUCGCCAGGGGGUGGAAAGAUUUUCGGGCAAGGAUGGACUCGCGGCCUAUCAGCUAGUUGGCGAGGUAACGGCUCACCAAGGAGACGACGGUUAGCCGGCCUGACAGGGGGACGGGCUACACUGGGACUGGGACGAGGGCCAGACUCCAUGGGGAGGGAGCAGUGGAGUAUAGUGCACAAUGGGCGGGAGCAUGAUGCGGCAACGCCGCGUGAGGGAUGACGGCCGUCGGGUUGUAAACCUCUUGUAGUAGGGAAGAAGCGAAAGUGACGGUACCUGCAGAAGAAGCGCCGGCUAACUACGUGCCAGCCGCCGCAGUAA